CAGCUGGACCGGACGGUCGCUUUCGGCGCUUUCGGGCGCUGGGAGAGGAAAGUCCGAACUCCGCAGAGCAGUGUGCCGGAUAACGUCCGGGAGGCCGGGUUCAAACCCGGUUUACGGCUAGUGCCACAGAAAACAUACCGCCUGGUGCAUCUUCGGAUGCGCGGGGUAAGGGUGAAAAGGUGCGGUAAGAGCGCACCGCCGCCGCAGUAAUGCGGCGGGCAGGGCAAACCCCACACGGAGCAAGACCAAAUAGGGAGGGAGUCUGGGGCGGGCUGAAAAGCCUCGCCCGAGACACGUGCCGGCUCGGCGCGUCCAAACCUCCGGGUAGGUCGCUUGAGCCGCGCAGUAAUGCGCGGCCCAGAGGAAUGACCGUCCUGCGGGAGCAAUCCCGCAGACAGAAUUCGGCUUACAGGUCCGGCUGCCAC
rnacentral:RNase_P_RNA from 1 species